rnacentral:rRNA from 1 species
GACGAACGCUGGCGGCGUGCUUAACACAUGCAAGUCGAACGGAAAGGCCCUGCUUUUGUGGGGUGCUCGAGUGGCGAACGGGUGAGUAACACGUGAGUAACCUGCCCUUGACUUUGGGAUAACUUCAGGAAACUGGGGCUAAUACCGGAUAGGAGCUCCUGCUGCAUGGUGGGGGUUGGAAAGUCUCGGCGGUUGGGGAUGGACUCGCGGCUUAUCAGCUUGUUGGUGGGGUAGUGGCUUACCAAGGCUUUGACGGGUCGCCGGCCUGAGAGGGUGACCGGCGACAUUGGGACUGAGAUACGGCCCAGACUCCUACGGGAGGCAGCAGUGGGGAAUAUUGCACAAUGGGCGGAAGCCUGAUGCAGCAACGCCGCGUGCGGGAUGACGGCCUUCGGGUUGUAAACCGCUUUCGCCUGUGACGAAGCGUGAGUGACGGUAAUGGGUAAAGAAGCACCGGCUAACUACGUG